rnacentral:rRNA from 1 species
UCGGCAAUGGACGAAAGUCUGACCGAGCAACGCCGCGUGAGUGAAGAAGGUUUUCGGAUCGUAAAGCUCUGUUGUAAGUCAAGAACGUGUGUGAGAGUGGAAAGUUCACACAGUGACGGUAGCUUACCAGAAAGGGACGGCUAACUACGUGCCAGCCAGCCGCGGUAAUACGUAGGUCCCGAGCGUUGUCCGGAUUUAUUGGGCGUAGAGGGAGCGCAGGCGGUCAGGAAAGUCUGGAGUAAAAGGCUAUGGCUCAACCAUAGUGUGCUCUGGAAACUGUCUGACUUGAGUGCAGAAGGGGAGAGUGGAAUUCCAUGUGUAGCGGUGAAAUGCGUAGAUAUAUGGAGGAACACCAGUGGCGAAAGCGGCUCUCUGGUCUGUCACUGACGCUGAGGCUCGAAAGCGUGGGUAGCGAACAGGAUUAGAUACCCUGGUAGUCCACGCCGUAAACGAUGAGUGCUAGGUGUUAGGCCUUUCCGGGGCUUAGUGCCGGAGCUAACGCAAUAAGCACUCCGCCUGGGGAGUACGACCGCAAGGUUGAAACUCCAAAGGAAUUGACGGGGGCCCGCACAAGCGGUGGAGCAUGUGGUUUAAUUCGAAGCAACGCGAAGAACCU